AAGUGCGAAUGCUGACAUAAGUAACGAUAAAACGGGUGAAAAACCCGUUCGCCGGAAGACCAAGGGUUCCUGUCCAACGUUAAUCGGGGCAGGGUGAGUCGGCUCCUAAGGCGAGGCUGAAAAGCGUAGUCGAUGGGAAACAGGUUAAUAUUCCUGUACUUGGUAAAGCUGCGAUGUGGGGACGGAGUAGGUUAGGUUAUCGCACUGUUGGAUAUGUGCGUUUAAGUUGGUAGGUGGGAAGUUUAGGCAAAUCCGGACUUCCUUAACACAGAGAGAUGAUGACGAGGCUCUACGGAGCUGAAGUAACUGAUACCACACUUCCAGGAAAAGCCACUAAGCGAAAGGCUUUACUAAACCGUACUGAAAACCGACACAGGUGGUCAGGUAGAGAAUACUCAGGCGCUUGAGAGAACUCGGGUGAAGGAACUAGGCAAAAUAGCACCGUAACUUCGGGAGAAGGUGCGCUUACAGUAAUUGUAGUCCCUUACGGAUGAAGGUGAAGUAAGUCGAAGUGACCCGCUGGCUGCAACUGUUUAUUAAAAACACAGCACUCUGCAAACACGAAAGUGGACGUAUAGGGUGUGAUGCCUGCCCGGUGCUGGAAGGUUAAUUGAUGGUGUAAUCGCAAGAGAAGCACCUGAUCGAAGCCCCAGUAAACGGCGGCCGUAACUAUAACGGUCCUAAGGUAGCGAAAUUCCUUGUCGGGUAAGUUCCGACCUGCACGAAUGGCAUAAUGAUGGCCAGGCUGUCUCCACCCGAGACUCAGUGAAAUUGAAAUCGCCGUGAAGAUGCGGUGUACCCGCGGCUAGACGGAAAGACCCCGUGAACCUUUACUAUAGCUUGACACUGAACAUUGAAUUUUGAUGUGUAGGAUAGGUGGGAGCCUUUGAAGCAGUGACGCCAGUCAUUGUGGAGGCGAGCUUGAAAUACCACCCUUUAACGUUUGAUGUUCUAACGAAGAUGACGAAACGUGGUCUCGGACAGUGUCUGGUGGGUAGUUUGACUGGGGCGGUCUCCUCCCAAAGCGUAACGGAGGAGCACGAAGGUUUGCUAAUCACGGUCGGACAUCGUGAGGUUAGUGCAAUGGUAUAAGCAAGCUUAACUGCGAGA
rnacentral:rRNA from 1 species